GUGCCUGUCACUCCUAGGGAUCAUUUCUAUAGUUUCAUUUUCUUGAGAAAUAUUUCUAAACUGUUUGGCCUCUCAAACAUUAGGAGGAUUUAUCGUGUUCUCUUCUAAGCAAGAAGCAGACAUUGAGUGUUUUUAGCAUAUGCUCUCUGUCAUUGAGUGUUCAUUCUCUCUCUCUCUCUCUCUCGCUCAAGGAGAGCUGAAGGAAGAGAAUACAGUCAAGU